UGUAGCUCAGUGGUAGAGUGCUUGCCCAACACUCAAAAGGUCCUGGGUUCAGUUCCCAGCA
rnacentral:tRNA from 1 species